GUGUUAUGGAAAUUUUUAAUAUUGUUAAUCUUGCAUUGAUUGCAUUAAUCUCAUUUAAGUAUCUUCUUAAACAUACAAUGAUCAAAGUAGUAUAUAGUCCAUAGGGACAUUGAGUUAUUUUAUGUAACUUGUGCACAUAACUGCUUUAGGUUGAAAUACAACAUUUAAGGGGAAACUGUUUACCAGGGACUGGCAGUUUUGAGAGAAACCAGACAUCUACCAUGUAAUGUGCAUGAGAAGUGCAUGUGUCAUGGGGUGAUGUGCACUGAGCAACAUGAUUGGCUCAAAGGUCCUAAUCUGUCCUUCAAUGUAUCUUUUUACAUACUAUAAAAAGUGUGUUGUGAGUCUGUGUGUUAUCUCUUUGCACACAGACUCAAGCUGUGUGUAAACCAGAUCAUUCUCUGCAGAGAAUUAAAGCAAUACAAAGACAAAACUCUGUUUGGUGUUUCAUUCUCAGUCUCUACAAAUUGUUAUUGAAUUAGAAUUUCCACAACAAACUUGGCGACGAGUGACGGGAUUCCACAGCUGAUCGUCCGGGACCUGAGGACGUUAGUUGGCUGAUCACCCUAGACCCACAAAGGGUUUAGCCCUAAACCCCAAAAGGUUUCAGGGAAGGGGGGACUGACGUCUGAGGGCUUGUGGACCUUCACUGCUGGUUUUCUCAAUGGAUCAGAAAAACGCGUGCUACAAACAAAGCUGGAGAAGGAGGGGGGAGUCGGGAGCAAAGUCCACCAAGGCCACGCAACACAAACAGAUAAGUCUGAAACACACACACAUUUUCUCUAAAGCUCACUGCAACGAAGAAAGUAUGCUUGCUAAUGUUUAUGCUCACUGCAACGAAGAAAAUAUGCUUGCUCAUAUUUCCGCUCUUAGCAAUGAAGAAAAAUGCUUGCUCUGAUACAUGAUCACAUUGGAAGAUUAGAAAAUUACAAAUCUUCUCUCGACAAGAACAUAGGCACAUACAUAUAGUCAUCCAAAUAAAUUAGCUUAUAAACAAAUGCCACAGAUUAAAUGAUGGGUUAAUGGAGUUGAAAGGGCUGGCAACUCAGUAAUUAGAAUGGAUGAAAUAGAUCCAAUUCCAAAAUUAAGUGGAAUUUUAGUUUGGUCUAUCUGGUUAAACUGUCAGAGAAAAUUUCACUGUACCAUUGAGAUGUGAGGAUGAAAAUGGCAUGAACUUUAAGCAUUGUUUUCUACUGUCAGAAAACUGCCUUCAAAAUUUGUUAGAAAGAGAUUUCACUGGGAAGUGGCCCAGUGCCAAAUUCAAACUUUAGCCACAAUCCAACAAUCGCAGUUGUAUAUUUACCAGUGGAAACUGAAAGAUGAUGAAUUAUGUGAAAAGCUUGUCAAUGCUGCAAAAGACAGUUUCACCUAAUUCUGAAUUAUGCCAUUCUCUGAUUUACAUUGCUCAGCACAUACAUUGUUUGGAAGAGAUUAAAUGUUUUUGAUGAAAUGGUUUUCAUGUAUAAACAUGAUAGACCUUAAAUGUUUAAUCUGGACAGAAAACAGAUGCGCUGUUGCUGUUGAUUUGAGAAAUGAACAGCAAAUGUUUUUGAUGUUGUUGAUUCUCUUCCACGUGUUGCGUUAUCCAGAAAGAAUAACGAACAUUGGGAAGACAUUGGUUUAUUUGUAAAAAUUUGUAUUUUUCAUGUGAAUUUGGUGGAGACAGCAGAGGACAAUGUCGAAUACAAUCCAACACUGUCUGCAUACCGAAUGUGUUUGCACGGGCCUGCUGUUAAAGCUGUACGCACAGUCUGUGUGAUUGAUGACACAGAGACCGGUCACUGCUUUCUCUCAGCGUAAGAAGCAGAGUCUCACCCAGCACUGAGAGAAGUCCCUAAGACACUCUGGGCUUUAUCUAAAUUUGAUGUUGGGCUGAUUAAAAAUUUUGAAUCAGUUCAAGUCACUCCAAAGUCUGAUUACAGACCCUGUAAACCUCAAUAUCCUCUAAAAAGAGAGGCUAUUGAAGGUAUAACACCAGUUUUUGAAUAAUUAAGAGCCGCUGGGGUAAUUGGGCACUGUGAAAAUUCUCCUGUGCAUACACCUAUUUUCCCUGUUAUAAAGAUAAAGAAACAUACGAACAAGACACUGUAAAACUUAUAAAACAUUUGGCUACUGAGGGUCGCAAAGCAAGUUUGUCAAAACUGCAGUUUGUAAAAAGGGAGGUGAUAUUUUUAGGUCAUCUCAUCACUAAAAAUGGCAAAUUUAAUCUGAGAAACUAAAAGAGACAAUUCAAAAGAUUCUAAAGCUUAUUAUGAAAAAGCAACUAAUGUCAUUUUUGGGCAUGUGUUCGUUUUGUCGAACGUUCAUUCCAAAUUAUGUUAAUAAAGAAUCGCCCCUGAGUGCUUUGGCUCACGGGAAGGGCUUGCAACCCCAUGACAAACUGACCUGGAUCCCAGAAGCAGAGAAAGCAUUUAAGAAUAUAUUACUGAUAAAAACAUCACCAACACUGGGACUCCCAGACCCAGAGAGAAAUUUUGUACAAACUGUUGAUGAGAGAAUGGGUUCAUGACUUCUGUUCUGUUACAGGAUCAUGGGGGAGACCUGUGGCCUAUUUUUCGAGUAAGCUCGAUCCGGUAGCAGCAGGCAUGACAAAAUGCCUGAGAGCUGUUGCAUCUGCAGAAAAAGCUAUUUUAUCUUCAAGGGAAAUUUUGGGGUACUCUGAUGUGACUUUGCUCGUGCCACGCUCGAUCUCUGUGAUCCUGUUGGAACAGAAAACAUCCCAUUUGUCAACCGACAGAUGGCUCAGGUACAAUGCAAUUCUAUUUGAAAUGCCAAACAUCACGAUUAAAAGAUGCACAGUGUUAAAUCCUGCUACACUGCUCCCUACGAAGCAGGAUGGGGAAACAACACAACUGUGUUGCCACAUUUGAACAGGUCUGUACACCAAGAUCAGAUUUAAAAGAAACCCCCUUAGAAAAUGCUGACUUAAUUCUAAUCAUUGAUGGUUAAGCAUCUAGAGACCCAAAUAUUGGCAAAAACAGAACAAAUUAAGCUGUAACAACUGCAUAUGCAACAAUAACAUCUGGAGCGCUCCCCGCGCAUUGCUCUGCGCAAGCGGCUGAAUUGGUAGCAUUGACAGAGGCUUGCAAAAUUGCUAAAGGGCAAACAGUUACCAUCUACACAGAUUCUCGUUAUUCUUUUGGGGUUUGUCAUGAUUUAGUGGCAUUGUGGAAACACAGGAAAUUUCUAAAGUCCGAUGGCAAGACUGUUCUAAACCAUGAUAAAAUAGCAGCAUUGUUUGAAGCAAUUUUGUUACCAAAGUCAAUUGCUAUUUGCAAAAUGCGUCACACAUUCCAAAAACUGUGAUGAUUUUGUGUUUUUAGGUAACAAUCAUGCUGAUACUGCAGCAAAGGACGCAGCUAUGAGAACAGAGCCUUCUUUUACCUGUGUAACACUUAACAAUGACUUAUUCACACUCACUUCUGAUUCUCUUACAGCAUGCAAGCUUUUGCCACAGCAGAGGAGAAGAAACAAUGGGUGAAGGCCAAGUGCAAACUGAUAAACAACCUUUGGCUGAGUACUGAAGGCAGACCAUGUCUACCAAAACACUUUUUCCCACACUAUGCAAAACUUAUACAUGGCCUAGAUCACAUGAGUUAAGGGGGAAUGUUUGAUUUGCUAAAUCAAUAUUGGUUCAAAAGGGGAUUCACUUUCUUUGCGGAAAGGUAUUGUCAAUCAUGUAUGAUCUGUGCCACAAGC
ensembl:lncRNA